GGAUGUGAGGGCGAUCCGGCUGCAACAUCUUUCACCACAUUGAUGGCCGGCUGAUCCGGCUGACCAGGCAGGUGUCCCCUUUCUCCCUCAACGCUCCAUGUGCAUUCCAUCCAAAGCUGCACACUGGGUCAAAGAAGAUGACCACCCCUGACAGAGAAGGACCCAUUCCUCGGUCAUGGAUAUGUGAGUAGCUGCACUCCCUUGCUAGAACCUCCAGACAAGUGCUCAGAUACUGUUCUAGGCAGAGAUAAACACGGAGCAAAAUAGACACUCCAUGGGCCUCCCCA
ensembl:misc_RNA 7SK 7SK RNA